rnacentral:rRNA from 1 species
GUCUACAGACAUGCCACCUUGAACAAGCCCAAUACCAUCUGUUCUUGGAAGCUAAGCGGGGUCGGGCCUGGUUAGUACUUGGAUGGGAGACCACCUAGGAAGACCAGGCGCUGUAGGCG